UGGUUUUCUUCUCUUUUUAGCUUUUAAUUGCUGGGGUUGCUCCGGAAAGAUCCCAAAGCCUUAAUAGCCGCCGCUCUAAGGAUGUACUGAUGAUAUGCCGCCGCCGCAAGUGCUCCCACCAUUGGUCCAACCCAGAAUAUCCACUGUUCAUUCGUCACCAUUUUUGUUAGUUUCUCAAACUAAAUGAACAAAAUACACUGAAAUUUUUUUUAGAAAAAGAAGCUUACUUGGUCAUCCCAAGCCUUGUCGUUGUUGUAAAUAACGGCGGCGCCGAAGCUUCUAGCAGGGUUAAUACCAGUUCCGGUGAUGGGAAUAGUAGCCAAAUGAACCAUGAACACUGCAAAUCCUAUAGGCAGUGGAGCCAACACGGGUACAUGUGAAUCACGGGCACUUCUUUUAGGGUCAGUAGCUGAAAAAACAGUGUAAACAAGCACGAAUGUCCCAAUAAUCUCAGCUCCCAAAGCAGUCCCUUUGUUAUAACCAGUCGCCACCGUGUUAGCACCGCCGCCAAGGGAGUUGUAUUCACUCUUCAUGAAUGCCUUAACUAACCCAACACCACAAAUAGCACCCAAACAUUGAGCUACCAUGUAAGCCACCGCCCUUAUAAGCGACACCUUCCUAGCCAAAAACAACCCAAAUGUCACCGCCGGGUUAAUGUGACCACC
rnacentral:lncRNA from 1 species